rnacentral:lncRNA from 1 species
AACUCACUGAGUGAUUCUGAGGACAGGAGUGUCUACAUGGGUUCAAAUCCCAGCUCCAUCAUUUACUAGUUUCUUGGCCUUGGCAAGCCAUUUGACUUUUCUCUAAGCUUCAGUUUCCUCACCUACAACGUGGAGCUCAUAAGAUAGAAUCUACCUAAUACAGUUACCAGGAGGAUUAAUGAAGAUGAUGAUUGUAAAGCAUUUAACACAGUCUCGAGCACAGCAAGUUAUGGAGGCACUCUACUCCCACACCAAGCUGGCUGCUCUGAGGAAAGGAGGCAUCUUCACUAAGGAGAUGCUCAGCUCCCAGUGCCCUGAGGAAGAGAAGCUGUCUGUGUGUGAAGGCCCCACAGCUGACAGGAAGAGUCACCAGAUUGUUAUUCAGCCGCAGGAUGUCCUGGCCUCCUAAGACCUUGCCCCUGUCCCCACAGCUUGCCGCCAAGGAGCCUUUAACUGCCAAGGACACAGAGACAGUAAUUCUCUAAUCUGGUCUUCCACAGAAUGUAGCAGAGUAUUGAAUGAGGCAUUCUCUCUACAUUUCACCACAGGAGCCACAAUAGCUAUGGAGUAAGUAAUAAAGCCAACAUGUGUUGAGCACUUAUGCUAUGCCAGGCAGUGUUUUACCUGCGAAAUGACUCAUAAAAUUAACUCGCUGCAUCCUUUCUACAUUCCUGUGAGGUAGAUUUUAUUAUCAUCCUCAUUGUAUACUUGAGACAGUGAAGCACAGAGAGGUUA